UAUAAUGGUCAUUCGUUGCCCUGGUAGCUCAGUGGAUAGAGCACCGCUCUCCUAAAGCGGGUGUCGCGCGUUC
rnacentral:tRNA from 1 species